GAUGAACGCUGGCGGCGUGCUUAACACAUGCAAGUCGAACGGUGAAGCCCAGCUUGCUGGGUGGAUCAGUGGCGAACGGGUGAGUAACACGUGAGCACCCUGCCCUGGACUCUGGGAUAAGCGCUGGAAACGGCGUCUAAUACUGGAUAUGAGACGUGGCCGCAUGGUCAACGUUUGGAAAGAUUUUUCGGUCUGGGAGGGGCUCGCGGCCCAUUAGCUAGUUGGUGGGGUAACGGCCCACCAAGGCUGCGAUGGGUAGCUGGUCUGAGAGGACGAUCAGCCACACUGGGACUGAGACACGGCCCAGACUCCUACGGGAGGCAGCAGUGGGGAAUCUUGCGCAAUGCGCGAAAGCGUGACGCAGCAACGCCGCGUGGGGGAAGAAGGCCUUCGGGUUGUAAACCCCUUUCAGGAGGGACGAAGGUUCGGCGGUGAACAGCCGACCGGACUGACGGUACCUCCACAAGAAGCCCCGGCUAACUAC
rnacentral:rRNA from 1 species